rnacentral:sRNA from 1 species
UAAAUGAAGGGUAUGAUGGGUUUUUUCCAAAAUUAUGCCAUAGAAACGAUUCCUUUUCGAUCUUCUAUACAGAGAGUACAGUUCCAGGGACAUUUCCGCAAGAAAGGACCCAAAGCACGGGGAGAACAAGUGCCAGAAGAAGCAACAAAAACCUGAUUUUCUAGGCAUCGCCAUUAUCUCCCUGGAGAGCAUUCCUUCUCCCUUCCAAAAUAGGUACUCCUCGAAUGAGGAAGAGCUCUCUAUCACUCCUUAGAGGGUAUCCCGAUUGUCAUGGUAGAGCCUUCGCCCUUCUCUCUCCGGCUUUAAUUCUUUUGAAUUAUGGCAGAGCAAAGAGAGAGAGAGCGAGAGAACGACAGAGAGGGGGAGAAGGCAGAGUGGCUGGAGGAGUGAAAGUUAUGGUCUACACAUGUUGCUGUCGUCUAAUGCCUGUUGUUGCUCCCUGUGCCCCAUUCUGUUGCCUGCUUUUGUUGUUGGAAUUUGCGUGAUACGGAUUUUGUUUGUAGAAAACUCGGAGCUCGCUUGCAAACACGACCGCACGUGGAAACUCAAACUCAAAACCUGUGUGUGUGUGUGUGUGUGUGUGUGCAAGGCACCAAACAAUAACAAAAAACCCAAACAACGAACUGCAAAAACUAAAACAGCAGCAACAACAACAGCAAGAGUGUGUGGUGCCAGAGGAGCAAAGAGAGCCAAACAAAAAUAUAUUGUACGAUUCAAGUACCGUUGCCGUAGAGUAGUCGUGGAAUAGAAGGGGAGGCAAGAGCAGUAAAGUGUGAUAAAAUGUCAUUGAAAUGUCAAAUAAAUGAAAGAAUGUCCAAAGAGUGGGGGGGGGAGGCGCAAGAUCAUUUCACUUUCGAGGCCUGCCUGCAGUUUUUACAGCAUUUAAUGGCAAAAUCAUCAGAUUUUAGGAGAGAGAUAGGGAGAGAGAGAACAGUUAAAAAAGAGCAGGAGGAACACAAAUGGAGGCUUGUGUUAGAGAGAGAAAGAGCAAAUGCUACGCAAAUAUGAGGACAAGGUGAUGACAUACAUACUACUCCAUCCAAUUCAGAAAUCUUUCUUUGUGGCUUCGAUCUAUGUGUGGAUUAUCCAUAGGCUAUCCAGCCUCUUGAGCCGACCACCCCGGGUCUUGGAACCGAUUCGCAGCGUCCUUAUAUCUUUAUAGGCAUCUCAGGAGCAGGCUUUUCGAUUCCCAUCGCUAGGAAUCGUUGCAGCAAUCAUCACUCUCGCAAAGAGUGGGGCACAGCCGUAAUUAUCACACCCCCCGCACUCCCCUUCUGCUCGUGGAAAAUCUCUGCUGGAAAAUCUGUGUAAAAUCUGAUAUCAACAUGGAAACUGUCGGCCCGUCUCCGGUGUCAACCCUCGUCGCAUUGCCUGUUUCUGCUCCCUGCCGCAUGCCGCAUGCCGCAUGCCACAUGCCAGUGGCAGUGCCUCUCUGAUGGCUUUGUUCUUUGUGUUGUCAAACUGUCAGGAUGGCGAUUUGCUGCCGCACAAUUGAUACAUUGAUAAAUGAUGUUCCCAGGAGGCAAUCUCGCAGGAUCUCCACCUCUUCUCCUCCUUCUACUGCUCGAUUCAUGCCACUUGGACGCUAAUUUUGUGUGACAAACAAUACUCUCUCUCUCGCGCUCUCCCUCGCUGGGAACGUGAGACGAUUUUCGAUUGUGGGGCACG